AGCUUUGGGCAGUGGCAGUAUCAUAGCCAAGGAGGUUUAUCUGAAACAUGAUUAUUGCUAAUUGAAAACUUUUCCCAAUACCCCGUCAUGAAGACUUGAAAUAUAGUCAGCAUUGGUAAUUUUUGGCAGUCUCUAUGGGGA